rnacentral:rRNA from 1 species
UACAGGGGGUGCAAACGUUGCUCGGAAUUAUUGGGCGUAAAGAGCGUGUAGGCGGCCUGAUAAGUCGGCUGUGAAAGUCAAGGGCUCAACCCUUGAAUGCCGGCCGAUACUGUCAGGCUAGAAUCCGGAAGAGGCGAGUGGAAUUCCUGGUGUAGCGGUGAAAUGCGCAGAUAUCAGGAGGAACACCUAUGGCGAAGGCAGCUCGCUGGGACGGUAUUGACGCUGAGACGCGAAAGCGUGGGGAGCGAACAGG